rnacentral:lncRNA from 1 species
ACCCGAUUUAUUUAAUUAAAAAUUGGAAAAAUUAGAAACAUCAAGAACGUUACAAUUCACUAGUAUAUCCAUCGUGGGUUUCAUUUAUUCCUCCAAUCUAACAUGACAUUGUCAUUCUAGUCACACCUGAUGAAGAAACAAAAAGGCCAUGAAAUCCAUCACAUUAUCAAAUAAUCUGGAUUUUAUUUAUCAUUUUGUUUUUUUUUUUAAAUCAAUAUCAGGUUCUGAUAAGGAUAUCGAAGGGAUAUAAUUGCACAAAAUAAAAUGACCCACCCUCUGAAACAAAUGCAACAAAAGUAAAAUUACAAUAUGCUUCUACACUUGCACGAACCAAUGGAGUUUCAUAAAGGAGAUAGGAAGAUGAACACAAUUUUAUGGAGACUACACUUGGAAUGUUCAUCUACAGUAUUCUACACUGCAUUAUGUAUAUCCCUUUUAACUUAUUUCGAACAAUAUCAAACCACACUUGGUAGCCAAUAUAAACUGGUGCUAGGAGUUACGGUAAACUGAAACAUCUUACCUAGGUAAAUUUAACUACUAUGCAAGAAAUAUCAUCUUUGCUCUUCCUUGCAACAGCCUCCUCUGUCAGAUGCUUGGC